UACGUAGGGUGCGAGCGUUAAUCGGAAUUACUGGGCGUAAAGCGUGCGCAGGCGGUUCGUUAAGUUCGUUGUGAAAGCCCCCGGGCUCAACCUGGGAACUGCAAUGGAAACUGGCGGGCUUGAGUGUGGCAGAGGGGGGGUGGAAUUCCGCGUGUAGCAGUGAAAUGCGUAGAGAUGCGGAGGAACACCGAUGGCGAAGGCAGCCCCCCUGGGCCAACACUGACGCUCAGGCACGAAAGCGUGGGGAGCAAACAGG
rnacentral:rRNA from 1 species